CUAGAUUGGGUGUCUCCAAACACUUUUGAUUAGAGACCCAUUAAUAAAAACGUUUGAGGAUGCAUUCUUUACUAAUGUGUGAGGUACAUUGUAAAGCAUACACAAAAAUUGGGAAUUAAAUAGACUUUGUUCUCUUAGUGCCUGGGGAGUGUCCUCACCCACACUCAGAGACCCUACCACAUUAGAAUUGACACAGAAAACAGGGGAGUGUAAAGUUGUAAAGUUAUUAAGACAAAAAAAAAAGUUCUGGCUUAAAAGUAGUUUCUCAGCCUGAUCUUACUGUUCCCUUUGUUCUUUGCAGAUUUGUUUGGUGUCUGUGUUUCAAUGUCAUUGUCCUUGUUUCCUUAUUGCAGUCCAGCCUUGCUGCUAAAGCUGGUAUGUCUAUCCAGAGACCAGACCUGGAGCCUUUCCCAGAGUCUAAGCUGACUUUCAAUGUAUUGCUUGGACACAUUUUAUUUAGAUCUCCAUCCUUCCAGGCCUCCCAGCCUGCUACCCAAGCCAAGCAGUAAUCUUUAAGAUGAACUUGCUGCUUUUUGGAAAUAACUCAUGUCCUUUUCCCCCUUAGGAGGGAUUUGUUCGUGUUGACCGAGAUUAUGUGCUGAAGUCUGCAGAGCUGGCAAAAGCUGGAGGGUGCAAACAUUUCAACUUGCUAUCCUCUAAAGGAGCUGAUAAAUCAAGCAAUUUUUUAUAUCUACAAGUUAAGGAGAAGUAGAAGCAAGGUUGAAGAAUUAAAAUUGAUCGUUACUCUGUAUUUAGGCCUGGAUUCUGUUAUUGAUAGGCAGAAUCUCGCCCAGGUGAAUGGCGGUUAGAAAGUUCUUUGGCUCCUUACCAGAAUCUUGGGCCAGUGGGAUUCUGUACCUGUGGUGACUGUGGUAGAGCAAUGUGAACAAUAUGGUGAGACCAAGAGACAAGCAGAUGGAACUGCUGGAGAACAAGCCAUCCAUGACCUGGGAAGUGCAUGGCUCCUCAAGCCAUGACACACUGGAUAAAUGGUUUUUAUUGUCAACCUUAAACCCAUUACCAAAUCGGUAAUUUCAGGGUCUAAAAAAGUCAGCAUGUUUAACUUUGUUGUUUUACUAUCCUCAGCAUCCAUUCCAAUCAAGAAAUGAUGGUGCCUGCAUUCAGUGGUUCAGACCUGGUUAUACAUAUAGAUCACUCAGGAGCUUUGGAAAAAUAAAGAUUUGUCAGCCCUAUCUCAAACUUGAAUCAAAAUUCUGGGUGGUGGGCACAAUAAUCAUAAUUUUCUUUGUUUAUACUUCCCCUGAUGCCACUGUUCUGAUGCCACUGGUGGGGGCCUGCUUGGAAAUGCUUAUCUGCAGAGUCAAGCAGCCAUGAAAACCUUAUGACCGUGCAAAGAACUCUGCUCUAAAAUUGUGACAUCAGUCUCGAGUACAAAAGUGCUAAUUCACUACAUGUAUUGUGUAAGUAAACACUGUGCCUUUACUACUCUUUAUGUAAUAGAAGUUGUAUACCUAAGCUAUAUAAUACAUAGGAGGAUUAAAUAAAGGAAUAAAGAUGAAUGGACAA
rnacentral:sRNA from 1 species